AGAGGGGGGACAACAGUUGGAAACGACUGCUAAUACCGCAUACGAUCUAACCUCGGCAUCGAGGAUGGAUGAAAGGUGGCCUCUAUUUAUAAGCUAUCACUGAAGGAGGGGAUUGCGUCUGAUUAGCUAGUUGGAGGGGUAACGGCCCACCAAGGCGAUGAUCAGUAGCCGGUCUGAGAGGAUGAACGGCCACAUUGGGACUGAGACACGGCCCAGACUCCUACGGGAGGCAGCAGUGGGGAAUCUUCCGCAAUGGACGAAAGUCUGACGGAGCAACGCCGCGUGAGUGAUGACGGCCUUCGGAUCGUAAAACUCUGUUAUUAGGGAAGAACAUAUGUGUAAGUAACUGUGCACAUCUUGACGGUACCUAAUCAGAAAGCCACGGCUAACUACGUGCCAGCAGCCGCGGUAAUACGUAGGUGGCAAGCGUUAUCCGGAAUUAUUGGGCGUAAAGCGCGCGUAGGCGGUUUUUUAAGUCUGAUGUGAAAGCCCACGGCUCAACCGUGGAGGGUCAUUGGAAACUGGAAAACUUGAGUGCAGAAGAGGAAAGUGGAAUUCCAUGUGUAGCGGUGAAAUGCGCAGAGAUAUGGAGGAACACCAGUGGCGAAGGCGACUUUCUGGUCUGUAACUGACGCUGAUGUGCGAAAGCGUGGGGAUCAAACAGGAUUAGAUACCCUGGUAGUCCACGCCGUAAACGAUGAGUGCUAAGUGUUAGGGGGUUUCCGCCCCUUAGUGCUGCAGCUAACGCAUUAAGCACUCCGCCUGGGGAGUACGACCGCAAGGUGAAACUCAAAGGAAUUGACGGC
rnacentral:rRNA from 1 species